rnacentral:sRNA from 1 species
UGCCGUUGCCCUUACGGGCGUUUCCUCCCUAGACUAGACCGCACUGUCUCAAAACAGUGCGGUUCUUUUUUGCCGGA